rnacentral:rRNA from 1 species
CAAUGGCAGGUACAGAGGGGUGCUACCGGGUGACCGGAUGCCGAUCUCGAAAACCUGUCCCAGUUCGGACUGGAGUCUGCAACCCGACUCCACGAAGUUGGAUUCGCUAGUAAUCGCGCAUCAGCCAUGGCGCGGUGAAUACGUUCCCGGGCCUUGUACACACCGCCCGUCAAGCCAUGGGAGCCGGGGGCGCCUGAAGUCCGGGACCGCGAGGACCGGCCUAGGGCGAAACUGGUGACUGGGGCUAAGUCGUAACAAGGUACC